CAAGGGAGGCAGUGAGAUUCAGAUAAUGGCCAUGCUUGUGUGUUCUUGGUUCUGAGGUAUGUUGCUCAGAAAUUCUUUAUCUGUGAGUUUGUUGAUGAAGUGGUGGUGUACUACUAUGUAGCCCAUGAAUAUAUAGGCACAGACGUAUGACUAAUUUGCAUUUGGCAGGGGACAAGGCCAUGAUCUUGGUGCAUGCAAUGGUGGCUGUAAGGGGCAGCAGCCAGAUUCAGAUCAAAUUUUGCUGGGCCAUGGCUUUCUGUAUGGGCAAAGGUAGUGGACUACUUGCUAGGCACUCAGAUGCAUACUACAGUAGUAUAGUCCUUGAUGCUUAACUCGGUAGAUGCAUUUUGCAACCAUCC
rnacentral:lncRNA from 1 species